rnacentral:lncRNA from 1 species
UUUUUUUUUAUUUCAACUCUAUAAAGUAUACAACAGGCACUCGGCAAUUACAGCUGCAGGGAAAAUACAGAGCAAAUCAAAAGCGGGUAACUUUAUGAAAAAAAGUUUUCCAUCUACAUCGAAAGAGUGCAAAUGGUCAGGGACCAUUUUGAUGACGAGUGUCACAUGUUGACAGACACACAAAAAAACCUCUUUCAUGUAGAACAAAUCGAUAAGAGGACAGUCAAAGAAUCAUCGCUGUAAGAAUACAAAAGAACUGACCAGUGUAAAAACAGCAUAAACUGGGAUAAAUCUGAGGCAAUGCUUAAAUAAAGUUCCCUUGAAUCAAAAAGCCUAAAACAUUGGAGACAUUAUCAAAGUCUCAGAGCUAUGUCGGUUUAUGCAGGGACAGUUAUAGAAGGGGACUAAGAACACACUUUUCGACGUCCAGCUUUCUAGGUGUGUUUGAGACUUGUCUCAUAAACAAUUUGCAUAUACAAGAACUCAUAGAAAGCAAGAAUCCUGUUUUGUUAACUGGGGUGUACCCAGGGGCUCUGGUUUGUGUGAUUUUUAGGUUGUGACUCAGAUUGUGACUGAGUUUGGCGUGAAUUGCAGACACUGACCAAUGUUUUCUUUUGGGGGGACCAUGGACCAUUCAGAAUGGAGUCUAGAAAACAUGAUAUGUUUGAACUUUUACUGCACUAUUUUUUUUCAUUGAAUCUGCACAGCUGAGCAAAACAGGAAUACCUGUAUACAGACUGAUAGUAUGUCAUAUAUUAAUUUGACCUGCACGUACAUUUAGACAUUUCACAGAAAUGACGCUGUAUCUCAUGAACAGAUACACAGCUCUGGUACAUUUAACAGAAAUAAGAGAACCACUUCAUCAUUUCUGUAGUUCAGUAUUAUAUAAUAAAGGCUUAUAAAUCGUUAGCAGAAAGAACUGUAAAACGCAGCAAGCUAAGAAAGGACAACAUUUUGAGGUGUAUUUGUCUUUGUCAUGCAGCAUAACACCAACUUUGUUUUUUUGUUUUUUAAAUAGGAUGCCAUGAAUUUAAGGCACUUGCAACAAUACCAAAUAGCCAGGUCAUGAUCUAAACUAUGGGACGGAUGAGUAACAGGAUGAUGGACAGAAGUUUUCAAGAAUACUGACAAUUGUGACCAUUCGAGUCUACUCUGACCUAAAAUCGUUAAAACUGUUACAAAGAAGGAAAUCAAAAGGAGGAUGCCAUGAAACACCGGCAAAAAGAAAGUCAUCUAUGUACCACAAAAUAUCAGCACGAAAAUAUCUAUUUACAUAAAUAUUUCUUUGUGGUCCUAUUGUGAAAGAAAAAUUGUUUGUGAAUAAUGCAGUUCUGAAAUAAACCACAGAUCACCUCUACCUUGGGAAUUCAGUCCUAACAUCCUGGUUUUCAAUAUGGUAGCUGACUUGGAGUCUUCUAGUACGUUGUUGGUUUGCUCACAUAAAAGUGAGACUCCGAUUAGGAAAACAAAUCAAUGACAGUAAGUUUAUAAAUAUCAUCGUGUGUAGACCUGUGCAAAUCACAUCGUUUGUGAGGAGAGAAUAACACUUGAAAAUAGAUUUGCACUGGCAAUAAAGGAUCCCAACAGAUUGGUAUUAGAAGCUACAUAGGUCAGAUGUUAUGUCCUAGACUACAAGGACAAAGGGGACAUAAAGGUCAUUUUGAGAAAUUUCCCCAGGAAAAUGUUCUUUUAUGUGUUCAGUUCACCCCAAAUAAUGUAACAUCCAUUUUCUUAGCUGUUCAUCAAUAUCACCGUCAAUAAACUCCCACAGAAAGUUCUUUCUCCCCAAACCUUGAUGUAUUCACAAGAAAGUUAGCAAAGCAAACAAGGACAUUUCUUCUAGAUACUACUUAAUAUUAGGCAGAAAAUGGGGAAGGGGAAAGGAAGAGUUCAGAAAAUGGGUAAAAAGUACUUUGUGAAAACCAUGAGUUUAGCCCUCAAGUCUUUGUGUGCAUAUAGACAAUACCUGAAUCCUUCAGUUCAGUGAGGAAGGUUAUGGGGAUUGGAUAAAGAUUAUUUUUUUUGCUUGACACUAGGAGUUCCUUGUCGAUACACUCCGGUAUUACUCCAGGUAGCACAAAGCCCUACUACACAUGAAAUCUACAAGCAUUAGAAUCUGUGUAGUUAGUUUCAUGGUACCCGGUGCUACUUUGUAACUUUUUUUAAAUUAAUUUCCAGAAAUUGGCGAAAUGGACAAUCAUUGCAGAGACCUAUGAGGAGUGGGGGGAGGGGAUCUUGAUGUUUUCGAAAUGUCCUAAGAGUUACAGUUUGUUUUUUGUUUAUUUUGGGGGGGAGGAAGAUUUUUGUUCUCUUUGAAGAUCUAAAAG